CAGUAGCCGCGGUAAUACGGAGGGCGCAAGCGUUAAUCGGAAUUACUGGGCGUAAAGCGCACGCAGGCGGUCUGACAAGUCAGAUGUGAAAUCCCCGGGCUUAACCUGGGAACUGCAUUUGAAACUGUCAGGCUGGAGUCUUGUAGAGGGGGGUGGAAUUCCAGGUGUAGCGGUGAAAUGCGUAGAGAUCUGGAGGAAUACCGGUGGCGAAGGCGGCCCCCUGGACAAAGACUGACGCUCAGGUGCGAAAGCGUGGGGAGCAAACAGGAUUAGAUACCCCUGUAGUCCCUGUCUCUUAUCC
rnacentral:rRNA from 1 species